rnacentral:lncRNA from 1 species
UAAGCAGUAACCAGCAGCAGAGAUUUAUUUGCAUUAUGCUGACCCAAUAAAUAAAACUGAUCUUGACUCUGUAAUGUGGAGUGAAGAAAAAGCAAGUAAAAAAAUGUACUGGGAAGGAAAGAAACCGAACACCAAGCAGAGAGAGGUCAUCUGUGUGAGACCCUGAUGUUGUGAGCAGUCAGGAUAACUAGCUAAGAACAUAAACUGUGAUUAACAUGCAAGCAAAGAAUAAAAGGGGCUCUUCAGGCAGCAGUUGCCAUCACUGGCUGGGUGAGGAGGGCUUCACCUCUUGGUGUCAUCUCUUAUUUGGCCCUGAGGAUAAUGAGCUGAAUGCAAGAUGGAUGACUCACAUGGAGCACCAUUCAAUUUGAAGAACUCCAAGCAAAAAAGAAAGCCUUGAAAUGAGAAACCUGAAAAUAAAUCAGGAUGUGUGUAUACA